UACAGAGGUGGCGAGCGUUGUUCGGAUUUACUGGGCGUAAAGGGCGCGUAGGCCGCGCGGUAUGUAGGGUGUGAAAUCUCCGGGCCCAACCCGGAAAGUGCGCCCUAAACUGCCGCGCUCGAGUGCGGGAGGGGAGAUCGGAAUGCAUGGUGUAGCGGUGAAAUGCGUUGAUAUCAUGCAGAACACCGGUGGCGAAGGCGGAUCUCUGGAACGCAACUGACGCUGAGGCGCGAAAGUCGGGGGAGCAAACAGG
rnacentral:rRNA from 1 species